rnacentral:rRNA from 1 species
UACGUAGGUGGCGAGCGUUGUCCAGAUUUACUGGGCGUAAAGGGCGCGUAGGCGGACAGUUUAGUCAGAGGUGAAAGCCCAGGGCUCAACCUUGGAAUUGCCUUUGAUACUGGCUGUCUUGAGUUCGGGAGAGGUGAGUGGAAUGCCGAGUGUAGAGGUGAAAUUCGUAGAUAUUCGGCGGAACACCAGUGGCGAAGGCGACUCACUGGCCCGAUACUGACGCUGAGGCGCGAAAGCGUGGGGAGCAAACAGG